AAAUGAAUUGACGGGGGCCCGCACAAGCAGUGGAGUAUGUGGUUUAAUUCGACGCAACGCGAAGAACCUUACCAGGGCUUGACAUCCCCUGACGGGCGCAGAGAUGCGCCGUUCCCUUCGGGGACAGGGAGACAGGUGGUGCAUGGUUGUCGUCAGCUCGUGUCGUGAGAUGUUGGGUUAAGUCCCGCAACGAGCGCAACCCCUAUUGCCAGUUGCCAGCAUGAAAGAUGGGCACUCUGGCGAGACUGCCGUUGACAAAACGGAGGAAGGCGGGGAUGAUGUCAAAUCAUCAUGCCCCUUAUGUCCUGGGCUACACACGUACUACAAUGGCAGCAACAGAGGGCGGCGCGGCCGCGAGGCCAAGCGAAUCCCGAAAAGCUGUCCCAGUUCAGAUUGCAGGCUGCAACUCGCCUGCAUGAAGUCGGAAUUGCUAGUAAUGGCAGGUCAGCAUACUGCCGUGAAUACGUUCCCGGGCCUUGUACACACCGCCCGU
rnacentral:rRNA from 1 species